rnacentral:rRNA from 1 species
GACGAACGCUGGCGGCGUGCUUAACACAUGCAAGUCGAACGGAAAGGCCCUGCUUUUGUGGGGUGCUCGAGUGGCGAACGGGUGAGUAACACGUGAGUAACCUGCCCUUGACUUUGGGAUAACUUCAGGAAACUGGGGCUAAUACCCGAUAGGAGCUCCUGCUGCAUGGUGGGGGUUGGAAAGUUUCGGCGGUUGGGGAUGGACUCGCGGGUUAUCAGCUUGUUGGUGGGGUAGGGGCUUACCAAGGCUUUGACGGGUAGCCGGCCUGGGAGGGUGACCGGCGUCAUUGGGACUGAGAGACGGCCCAGACGCCUAUGGGAGGCAGCAGUGGGGAACAUUGCAGAAUGGGCGGAAGCCUGAUGCAGCGACGCCGCGUGCGGGAUGCCGUCCUUUGGGUUGUAAACCGCUUUGGCCUGUGAUGAAGCGUGAGUGACGGUAAUGGGUAAAGAAGCACCGGCUAACUACGUG